GACGAACGCUGGCGGCGUGCUUAACACAUGCAAGUCGAACGGAAAGGCCAUGCUUUUGUGGGGUGCUCGAGUGGCGAACGGGGGAGUAAAACGUGAGUAACCUGCCCUUGACUUUGGGAUAACUUCAGGAAACUGGGGCUAAUAUCGGAUAGGAGCUCCUGCUGCAUGGUGGGGGUUGGAAAGAUUCGGCGGUUGGGGCUGGACUCGCGGCUUAUCAGCUUGUUGGUGGGGUAGUGGCUUACCAAGGCUUUGACGGGUAGCCGGCCUGAGAGCGUGACCGGCGUCCUUGCGCCUGCGAGACGCCCCAGUCUCCUACGGUCGGCAGCAGUGGGGAACAUUGCACAAUGGGCGGGCGCCUGAUGCAACGACGCCGCGUGCGGGAUGCCCUCCUACGGGUUAUAAACCGAUUUCGCCUGUGACGAAGCGUGCUUGACGGUAAUGGGUAAAGAAGCCCCGGCUAACUACGUG
rnacentral:rRNA from 1 species